GCGCCUGUAGCUCAGGGGAUAGAGCAGCGGCCUCCGACGCCGUGUGCGGUGGUUCGAUUCCACUCAGGCGUGCCA
rnacentral:tRNA from 1 species